UACGUAGGUGACAAGCGUUGUCCGGAUUUACUGGGCGUAAAGAGCGCGCAGGCGGUCGUUCAAGUCGAGUGUGAAAGCCCCCGGCUCAACUGGGGAGGGUCACGCGAUACUGAUCGACUGGAAGGCAGGAGAGGGUAGUGGAAUUCCCGGUGUAGUGGUGAAAUGCGUAGAUAUCGGGAGGAACACCAGUGGCGAAGGCGACUACCUGGCCUGUUCUUGACGCUGAGGCGCGAAAGCUAGGGGAGCAAACGGG
rnacentral:rRNA from 1 species